GACUGAGUGGCUCAGUCGGUUGAGCACUUGCCUUUGGCUCAGGUUGUGAUCUCACGGUGCGUGGGUUCAAGCCCUGCAUCAGUCU
rnacentral:tRNA from 1 species